CCCUUAGAGUUUGAUCCUGGCUCAGGAUGAACGCUAGCUACAGGCUUAACACAUGCAAGUCGAGGGGCAGCAUGGUCUUAGCUUGCUAAGACUGAUGGCGACCGGCGCACGGGUGAGUAACACGUAUCCAACCUGCCGUCUACUCUUGGACAGCCUUCUGAAAGGAAGAUUAAUACAAGAUGGCAUCAUGAGUCCGCAUGUUCACAUGAUUAAAGGUAUUCCGGUAGACGAUGGGGAUGCGUUCCAUUAGAUAGUAGGCGGGGUAACGGCCCACCUAGUCUUCGAUGGAUAGGGGUUCUGAGAGGAAGGUCCCCCACAUUGGAACUGAGACACGGUCCAAACUCCUACGGGAGGCAGCAGUGAGGAAUAUUGGUCAAUGGGCGAGAGCCUGAACCAGCCAAGUAGCGUGAAGGAUGACUGCCCUAUGGGUUGUAAACUUCUUUUAUAAAGGAAUUAAGUCGGGUAUGGAUACCCGUUAGCAUGUACUUUAUGAAUAAGGAUCGGCAA
rnacentral:rRNA from 1 species